rnacentral:lncRNA from 10 species
UAAGCCUUAGUGGCUCAUCUAUCAGAUGGGGUUAACUAUAAAACAACACAGGAUAUUGCUGUGAGGAUUCAACACAAUCUCCUGUUUGCAGGGUUUGGGGCAGGCACACCCUGAGGCCUGGCACCUGUGGCUGUGGUCUCUGCUAUUGCAACAGCCUUGAAGACUGGGACCCCUACUGGGACCCCCGCUCUCUUCUGGGGGACCCUGGAAGGCUCCACCAUAUCCCUACACUGAGGUCUUUGGGCAGUGUGAGGACAUAUGUCAGCAAGCGCAUAACAAACACAGAAUUGGCGGCCCUAACAGCGGGGAAAAUAGUACCUGUGUAUCCACGGCGUCCUCACUGCUACCCCACAUGGGGCAUUCAGGUUUCACAGACAUCCCUUAUGCCUCAGGUCCUUCUCCAGUGCAGCCGUAGUAAACCAGCGCCCUGGUCACCAGGAGUGCUUUGGGCCCUGGCCUUCUAUUUGAAGGAUCACAAAGUCCCCCUCUGGGUAGGUGUGGAGGGUCAUGCAAAGGAGACCCCACCAUCCCCUGCUGGGGUCAGCACCCAAGCUCACCUGAGGAUUCAUGUGAAACACAUUGGAUGCCUUUGCCUGGGCCCACUGCCUCUUUCCCUUCUGAAUAAAGAAGACCCACCAUGAGACUCACAAGCGGGGUGAGGUGAGGCCUUACCUCCUCUGGGGCACACCAGGAAUGCCACACUUCCCCUCUGGGACAGAGCUCCGGGACCAGGGGCCACCCUUCCUUCCCUUCCUGACUCCACCCAAGCACCUCUCCUCGGCCUGAUACACAGAAACUGUCCAACGAAUCCAACACAGAAAGAAAGGACUUGGAGACCUGUUUCCAUUCAGCUCUGCCACUUGUCAGGUUGAGUUCCUGGGCAGGUCUACUAACGCCUCUGGGCUGAAGUGUUUUGUUUAUUACUGUUUGUUUACAGGACAGCAGAAUGAGUGUGGCCUGCAGUGGCUAAGGGUGGUGACAUUAUUCCCACUCACAGUUUCUACUGUGUUCUAGGGACUUAUGGGUCUGUGACAGAGGAGGCCACCCUGAGCCGUCAAGGGCACAGAGCUCCUUAUUAUGGCUCACUCACAACAGCCCUGCAAGCUAAACCAGCUCUUGUGAUCCCAUUUCACAGAUGAUUAGAAUGAGGCUGACUGAGAUGAAGUCACUUCUCUGAGUCGUAAGUAGCAGAUCCCAGGCGGCGUGACUCCAGAACUUCCCUGCUUCAUCCUACACUGAUUCUUGUUUCUCUUAUUUAUGUAUUUAUUUUUUUUCAUGAGGAAAGAUGAGCUCAGAGAUAGGCAGUGACUUUGCUGGUUUCUCACCACUCUCUGUGGGAUGUCAGAGCAGCCUAUGAACGUUCUUAGUCCUGGGAGGUGGAGGUGUCUAAAGGGUCAGGGAACGAGGACCAGGGCUAGAGAGCUGGUCAAUUGUUAGGGGAGAUCAGUCCUCUGCACCACCGGCCGAUGACCUCAUCUGCCUGAGGCCCCUGAAAGUUCUGAGUGCUGGGUCCAAACAGUCCAGAGGGUCGCAGGGACCAAGGGCCCCCAGCUUCUCUCCACACUGGAAUUUCAGGGUCAGAGGGCCCCUGACUCUGAGCCAUCCCUGCCCCCUACACAUCUUGCCUGUUGUCUAGGCUGUAGAAAGGCAACAGAUUAGUCAGCUAGAAACCUGCUUUGAGUCUACCCUGAAUGACCGGUUCCAGCAUAAGAGAAGGAGGGUUGCUGAGUAGGUGUGGGGUGGGGAAGGAGUGCCCACUCUGCAACUCGGCUUAGCACCUGCUGCCCUUUGCAGAAUCUGCAGGGUCCCAGGCCCUCCAAGAGGCUGAGCAGCCUCAAAAGGCAUGAAGCUGCUGGCAUGUACCUGCGGCUCCACAGGCAGCAUACAAGGGCAUCGCUAGUGCCUGGCCAUGUGAGGCUGGCUGCAGGAUCCCUAGGCGGACCCUGAGAAAUACCAUAUCCAAGGACACAACGCUCCCGUCCUGCCUAACCCACAGAGUUUGUUGAGAUGAUCAGACACAAUUCUAAUGAUGAUAGCAAAGCUUACCUGGAGGUUCCCUCCCGUAUCCCACUGUGCUUUGCAAACACUAACUCACUGGCUGAGCCCAGUUUGACAACAAAGUACUGAUUUCUCUAAAGUUCUCAUCAUAGACUGUAUGAAGAGCAUAUGUUUUAUACAACUUACUUAUUUUGCAAAUAUGGAUAAACCUUUGCAACCCAGAUCAUCAUAACAAGACCACGUGGGUUCAUUAGAGUCAUACAGUGUUUCAACGGUCAUAAUAUGACUAGUUCAGACCCCUUCGAAAUAGUGCUUCAGGUGAAUCAAUUCACCAAAUGUAAAACAAUGUACAUUUAUUAGUUGUUUUAAAACAGCAAAUUACUAUUCAUUGUGUAAUGAAUUGUUGCCUUACUAUGCCAUCCACCCAUCUUGUAGGCUGAGGCAUGGAGGCCUGUGUUCACCCUUCCGCACACCCACCUGUGCUUGUGAAAUGUACACCCACCUGUGCUUGUGAAUAGCAUUAAAGCCAUUUCUACAGACUUCGCAUGUGUAGUUUCAUUAUCUUCUGCCUUAAAACACAUUAAGGAAACCAUUCUCUUUGUCUCCCAAAUUGUGAAACGUAGUUCCAUUUACCUGCUUCCCAUGUUUUAAAGGUCAUUUGUGAUAUAAGUAUUGAGAAAAAUUUUCCCCCUAAGGAAACUGAGCUCUGCUCAAAUGCCGAGGUGAAUAAAUGCAGCGCUUUUCCCACAAAACACAAUCAUUCACACAAACACACGAUGCGAGUGCCUGUUUAGCAAUUGUUUCUGCGGGUUUGUUAUCUAUAGCUGUUUCCUCUUCAUUAGUUGUUUACAUUAUUAAAAUCUGAUAUAAAAUGCAAACUUUCAAAGAAUGUGUUUCUAGAUCCAAAGAAUUUAGAAAAUGUUCACUGUUGAUCAGAUUUUUAAAAAUAUAUUCAAAGUUAAUAUUAAGAGUAACUUUGAAUAAGUAGGGCUUUAGAGCAGGACGUGACAGAGAACUGACCUUUCAAAGAAUGAGCACAAUUUGUGACUAAGUACCUCUUUUAAAUGGAGUUUAGCAAUUGCUUUCUGAAUACCUGUCUUGACUGUCCAACAGUAGCUCCAUGGGGGCGGAUACCCUGGUGAGCACUGUGCUAGCCACAUCGCAGGUAUCCUACAUGUAUUUCUUAAAUGAAAAAUAUUCUUUCUAAGACAGUGUUAAAAAAUCAUGAGUAAGAAGGUCAUUAAUCCCUGAUAGCUUCAUAAAUGAGAUAUUCUUCUGCCCAAAGAGAUGCUGCUCUGCAAAUCACACCCAGGGAAUUCUGCUCCUUUUGGCCAUGGUCCCAUGAAGACACACAAGGUGAUCGUUUCAGAACCCUAUCAGUGUUCAACCUGGCUAACUUGUGAAAUAGUCAAGCUCAAAAGAUUCUCAAAGUGAUUUUCUGGGAAAAUAUUCUACUGUAAAGAAGUCUUCAUGCAUAGAGUAGAAUAAAAAUACCCAGUCCCUCCUGAGGGGAAUGAGAUCAUAGGCACUGAAGUGCUUUGAGAUACUCAAAGAAAAGAAACAUGACACAGCCUUUUAUUAUUUCAGAUCGUGAGACCAGGUCAGAAGGGUCGUUACGCUCAUC